UUAGUUCCGUCCAGAAAGGCGGAGGUUGCAGUGAGAUCAUGCCACUGCAUUCCAGCCUGGGCGACAGAGCAGAGACUCCGUCUCAAAAAAAAAAAGAAAGAAAAAAAAGAAAUGCUGACUUACUCCACAAUCAUAAAGAUGUUCUCUUAUGUUUUCCUCUAAAGACAUUUUUUUUUACUUUAACAUUUAGAUAGGCAAUCUAUAUAGAAAUUAUUUUUGUGUAUGUUGUAAAAUAAGGGUCAAAAUAAUUUAGGGGGUAUGGAUAUUCAAAUGGUGUUUAUUUAUUGAAAUCAACAUCAUUUCCUUCACUGUAUUACAGCAUCAUCUUUGUUAUAUACAUUAUGUGUGUGAAUCACUUUCUGAACGCUGUGUUGUUUCAUUGGUUGCCCUAUGUUAUCUGUGUCAAUUCCACUCUGAUAUAAUAACUAUCUUUAAAAUAGGUCUUAGAUUGGGUAAUACAAUCCUCCACCAUUAUUCUUUAAGAUUGACUUUGCUAUCCUUGGCUCUUUGCACUUCCAAGUUGACUUUAAAAAGUCAUCUUGUCAUUUUCUAUACUCACAAAACCUGCUGGGAUUUUGUUUUAGAACUGUAGAAUGUUUUGAGAAAUGUUGACAUCUUUACAAUAUGAGCCUUCCAAUUCAUAAGCAUGGUAUGUUUCCAUUUAUUUAGAUCUUCUUCAAUUUCUUUCAGUAAAAUUUUAUAGUUUUUAAUAUUGAGGUCUAGAAGAUCUUUUGUUAGAUUUAUUCCUAAAUCUAUUUAUAUAAAUAAAUAUAUAAAUGUAUUCCUUAGAUUUCCCUUUUCUAUUUCUUUGUGACUGAUGUUUGAUACAAUUUAUUUUUGUGUAUUUUAAUUUAG
rnacentral:lncRNA from 10 species